UACAGGGGGUGCAAACGUUGCUCGGAAUUAUUGGGCGUAAAGCGCGCGUAGGCGGCUACUUAAGUCGGAUGUGAAAGCCCCUGGCUCAACUGGGGAAGUGCACCCGAAACUGAGUGGCUUGAGUGCGAAAGAGGGUCGCGGAAUUCCCGGUGUAGAGGUGAAAUUUCGUAGAUAUUCGCAAGAACACCAGUGGCGAAGGCGGCUCACUGGCCCGGUACUGACGCUGAGGUGCGAAAGCGUGGGGAGCAAACAGG
rnacentral:rRNA from 1 species